GGUAGCCGGUUUAAUAAGUCUUUGGUGAAAGCUUGUAGCUUAACUAUAAGAAUUGCUGGAGAUACUAUUAGACUUGAAGUCGGGAGAGGUUAGAGGUACUACCGGGGUAGGGGUGAAAUCCUAUAAUCCUGGGAGGACCACCUGUGGCGAAGGCGUCUAACUAGAACGAUCUUGACGGUGAGUAACGAAAGCCAGGGGCGCGAACCGGAUUAGAUACCCGGGUAGUCCUGGCCGUAAACGAUGUGGACUUGGUGUUGGAAUGGCUUCGAGUUGUUCCAGUGCCGAAGGGAAGCUGUUAAGUCCACCGCCUGGGAAGUACGGUCGCAAGACUGAAACUUAA
rnacentral:rRNA from 1 species